rnacentral:lncRNA from 10 species
GGAUGAACUGUUUAAAGGGGCAACUCUGAAAGCUCUGAGGCCCAAAGCACAGCCUGAGGAGGAGGAUGAAGACGAGGUGAGCAUGAAGGGACGCCCGCCCCCAACGCCCCUUUUUGGAGAUGAUGAUGAUGACGAUGACAUUGACUGGCUGGGAUGAAGACCCAGGAAACUGGUGCAAAGGUUUCUCUGCAACCCUUCCCUAAGCAUGAUUUUGCACAGCCAACCCUGGGUCUAGGCGAACCACAGGGUGAGGUCAAGGUGAGCAUUCUGGGAACAAUAUUUGGGCUCAGAGGGUGGGUUGGCCACCUUCUGAGCCCCACCCCCGCCAGACCUGGUGAAGAGGAUCAUAACCCUGUCUUCAAGAACACUGGGAUUUCAGCAGCAAGUUGGAAGAAGGACUGGUAGGUUCCCCUCCAAGCCAGUCACCUGUAAGAGUCCUGUCCUCUGCCAGACUUUUUAAUCUCUUCAUUAACUCUCAGACUGACCUGGGAGCCCUCCUCUACCUGAAUCCAGUGCUCAACUGUGCCCCGGCAACAAGACCUGGGCUGAGGUCUCCCUGGUAGAACUAAGGGAGAUUACACCAUCUAAAUCCCAGUGCAGUCAACAGCCUGGCCUAUAGUCCUGGGACAUGUAUCUUCUUCUUUGCCUUAAAUCUGAUACAAGAGGUCAAUGACUUUGAAAAUAAAACUAAAAUAAAUGUCUAUAAUGAAACU